UACGUAGGGACCGAGCGUUGUCCGGAAUCAUUGGGCGUAAAGCGCGCGCAGGCGGUUUCUUAAGUCUGAUGUGAAAGCCCACGGCUCAACCGUGGAGGGUCAUUGGAAACUGGGGAACUUGAGUGCAGAAGAGAAAAGCGGAAUUCCACGUGUAGCGGUGAAAUGCGUAGAGAUGUGGAGGAACACCAGUGGCGAAGGCGGCUUUUUGGUCUGUAACUGACGCUGAGGCGCGAAAGCGUGGGGAGCAAACAGG
rnacentral:rRNA from 1 species